GUCUAAGCUCUGGUCUGACAGUUCUAUAGAGACGGAGUCUGCAAAGCAGCACCCAGCUCAGAGAGUGGUGCGCUUGUCCCCAGGGAGAGGAGCAGCUGCACAUCUGAGGCUAGACGCUUCUGGGGCUCCAGCCCCAGUGAUCUGCACAGGCCGGCUCUGUGAGGAGCAGCACCACACGCUAGCGUUGAUUAAUUAGCCGAGCAAAAAUGAUGGGGACGUCACUGAAGGAAAUAAUUUGGCUGCCUUCUGAGGAUAACAUGUAAAUACGCACACACACACAGGCACACAUUAAUACACAUGUAUGUACUACUACAUGUAUGUAUUAAUACUCAUGUACACAUACAUACGGGCAUGUACAUACACACACAUGGACACGUGUGUGCACACACAAGCAUGCAUACACACGCAAUGAAUGCAGGAAGUGGGAUUCUGAGGCCCACAGGA